UACAGAGGUGGCAAGCGUUGUUCGGAAUUACUGGGCGUAAAGGGCGCGUAGGCGGCUUUCUAAGUCAGACGUGAAAUCCCAAGGCUUAACCUUGGAACUGCGUCUGAUACUGGAAAGCUGGAGUUCGGGAGAGGGAUGUAGAAUUCCAGGUGUAGCGGUGAAAUGCGUAGAUAUCUGGAGGAAUACCGGUGGCGAAGGCGGCAUCCUGGACCGAAACUGACGCUGAGGCGCGAAAGCUAGGGUAGCAAACGGG
rnacentral:rRNA from 1 species